GACGAACGCUGGCGGCGUGCUUAACACAUGCAAGUCGAACGGAAAGGCCCUGCUUUUGUGGGGUGCUCGAGUGGCGAACGGGUGAGUAACACGUGAGUAACCUGCCCUUGACUUUGGGAUAACUUCAGGAAACUGGGGCUAAUACCGGAUAGGAGCUCCUGCUGCAUGGUGGGGGUUGGAAAGUUUCGGCGGUUGGGGAUGGACUCGCGGCUUAUCAGCUUGUUGGUGGGGUAGUGGCUUACCAAGGCUUUGCCGGGUAGCCGGCCUGGGAGGGUGACCGGCGACAUUGGGACUGAGAUACGGCCCAGACUCCUACGGGAGGCAGCAGUGGGGAAUAUUGCACAAUGGGCGGAAGCCUGAUGCAGCAACGCCGCGUGCGGGAUGACGGCCUUCGGGUUGUAAACCGCUUUCGCCUGUGACGAAGCGUGAGUGACGGUAAUGGGUAAAGAAGCACCGGCUAACUACGUG
rnacentral:rRNA from 1 species